rnacentral:lncRNA from 10 species
CAGAGAAGGAAGAAGGAGAGGAGGAGGCAGCAGCUAAGAAGAGUGCAGAGAGAGGGAGAGUUGGAGCACAGUCAUGGAGGCAUUUGUUGAAAUGGAGGUGCCAAAAGAUUGAAGAGAUGUGGAUUGCUGACCCACUGCAUGAAGGUGGUUGCCCUACAGAGUCACCUGGACCUGCACUGACUUGGUAUAAAGCCCUUCAUCACCUACUGCUCUCAAAUCCCAAGGAUCGACAGGCCGUGUCUUCGUAUCUAAGUUUGGAAAGAACCCAGCUCUAUGAGGUUUGAUCUGUUUUGUUUGUGGAUGAGGAAGCAAGCACAAGGAGUAAAGUGGCCAAGGUGACAUGACCAUGAAUUAUCAGAAUCCAGACUCAAUGCUCCACCUUAUCUGAACUAACAGAGUUCUGAGAAGUGCCCCAUGUAGUAAGUUCCAGCAUCCCUCUGAGAUGUUGCGGAUUCAGUUUUAGGCCACCAUAGUAAAAUGAAUAUUGCAACAAAGCAGGUUACACACACUUUUGUUUUCCCAAUGUAAUAGAAGUUAUGUUUACAUUAUCUUGUAGUCUAUUAAGUGUGCAAUAACAUUGUGUCUAAAAAACAAUGUACACAUCUUAAUUAAAAAAUACUUUAUUGCCAGAAAUGCAAGUGAUCAUCUGAGCCUUCAGCUAGUCAUAAUCUUAUUGCCGGUGGAGGGCCUUGUCUCUAUGUUGACAGUGGCUGGUGGAUCAGGC